rnacentral:rRNA from 1 species
UACGUAGGUGGCAAGCGUUGUCCGGAAUUAUUGGGCGUAAAGCGCGCGCAGGCGGUCCUUUAAGUCUGAUGUGAAAGCCCACGGCUCAACCGUGGAGGGUCAUUGGAAACUGGGGGACUUGAGUGCAGGAGAGAAGAGUGGAAUUCCACGUGUAGCGGUGAAAUGCGUAGAGAUGUGGAGGAACACCAGUGGCGAAGGCGGAUCUCUGGACAGUUCCUGACGCUGAGGCGCGAAGGCCAGGGGAGCAAACGGG